GGGGGCGAUACGGGUUCGACGGCAAGCGGCGAGCAAAGGGAAGCAUGCCGUAGAAGGUCACUACGUAAAAAACCAAAACAAAACAAUUCCCGAACGCGAAAUCGCUCUCGCUGCUUAAUUAACGCAGCGACGUCCUACCUGGCUUGCCCGUAGGCUGGGAUAGGGCGUAAGACAUACGGGAUAGGGCCUUUCCAACCUCCCCUGAGGGAAGGCUCGAAACCUAACGGGGAUAGCUUUAAGCUCCUCUGCCUGUGGAGGAGCUUAGGGCGAAACCUUAAUCACAGGCUAAGCAUGUAGAAGCCCUUUGGGCUUGGCCUUUGCCGGACGGGGGUUCGAUUCCCCCCGCCUCCACUU
rfam:Sulfurihydrogenibium sp. YO3AOP1, complete genome.